GGGGAUAUAGCUCAGUUGGUAGAGCACUUGCCUAGCAUGUGAAAAUCCCUGGGUUCAAUCCCCAAGACCACCA
rnacentral:tRNA from 1 species